CGCGGCCUAUCAGCUUGUUGGUGGGGUGAUGGCCUACCAAGGCGACGACGGGUAGCCGGCCUGAGAGGGUGAUCGGCCACAUUGGGACUGAGAUACGGCCCAGACUCCUACGGGAGGCAGCAGUGGGGAAUAUUGCACAAUGGGCGGAAGCCUGAUGCAGCGACGCCGCGUGAGGGAUGACGGCCUUCGGGUUGUAAACCUCUUUCAGCAGGGACGAAGCGUAAGUGACGGUACCUGCAGAAGAAGCACCGGCUAACUACGUGCCAGCAGCCGCGGUAAUACGUAGGGUGCGAGCGUCGUCCGGAAUUACUGGGCGUAAAGAGCUCGUAGGCGGUUUGUCACGUCGUCUGUGAAAUCCUAGGGCUUAACCCUGGACGUGCAGGCGAUACGGGCUGACUUGAGUACUACGGGGGAGACUGGAAUUUCUGGUGUAGCGGUGGAAUGCACAGAUAUCAGGAAGAACACCGAUGGCGAAGGCAGGUCUCUGGGUAGUAACUGACGCUGAGGAGCGAAAGCAUGGGUAGCGAACAGGAUUAGAUACCCUGGUAGUCCAUGCCGUAAACGGUGGGCGCUAGGUGUGGGGUUCCUUCCACGGGCUCCGCGCCGUAGCUAACGCAUUAAGCGCCCCGCCUGGGGAGUACGG
rnacentral:rRNA from 1 species